GGUAAUUUCUAGAAGUGCGUGUCUACUCUUCAUGGAGGACACAGGCUUCUGCAUGGAGUUUUAAAAUAUGUUGUGAUCCAUCUCAUUGUGACCUGAGCUGCUGGGCUGCAUCGCAACGGAAUGUUCACCUUUGUCUUCAUAUGUCAAUGAGCUGUGGGACAGUUGAGCAUACUGAAAAGCUAUUCCUGUACAAGGCCGGAUCCACACUGAUGCUUUGCCCCUUCUUGCCAAGGGACCACAUUGUUAGAGACAUUGGUUUGGGGUGUAUUUAUA